GCUCUUCUUGCCACCAGGCAGUGCCUGAAGCGUUUUCGCUUGCUUGCUUUAUACAUUUAUUUAUUUAUUUAUUACUCUCGAGCUCUGUUUGCACACCCUAAUACAUUUUCGGUAGCACACAACCAACGUUUCGGCCAUGUUCGCAGCACCGUGGUACAGAAGUGCAUUGUAUUGGGACCCGAGUAAGGAAGGAGGGAGCGAGGGAGGAGGAGGAGAAGGAGGAGGAGGGUGCUGGAGAAGCACACAGCUGCACGGCACACAGAAGCCGGUUUCCCAACCCUGACAGCAAGGGAACGAGUGAGCAAGCGGCCUCGCUUCAGCAACUCCGUCCAGGAGAGAGAUUUUCUUUGUUUGUUUUGUUUUUAAUGCUCCAAAAUACAGAAUGGAUCAGGACAAGACAGAGGAUUCUUUUCCUUUCUCCGUGGCUGGCUACUCUUAUCCACUACAUGCGAUGAGCUGCGUGCAUUACGAUACACAUCCGGAGUCAUGCUACGUCAGGAGUUGAAAGUUAAGAAGUCACCUUGUGCAGCAUGCAGGUUUGGUACACCUUAAGUGCUGCUGAAAACUUCUGUUAGUGCAAUUUGUCCCGAUGUAAAGCAGCGCGGUCUCCUAACUGAAGCCUACGACUUUCCCCAAAAGCCAUCCAGAACGACGUAAAGGCUUUUCCACUGCAGUCAUGCAUAAGUCAUGUAGCUCUACCCCUUUCACCUGCGGCAGUGUGUGUGUAAGUCACAUGGUAGGGACUGUGUGUGUGUGUGUGUCGUAUGGAAAGCACAUCUGGUAAGUUCUGCAUAUACGGAUGACUCAAAGACACACAUGAGUGUAUUCAUCAUCUCAAACAGAAGGUAAGAGGUGAUUGAGUUCAUUGUCUCUCUCUCACACACACACACACACACACACACACACACACACACACACACACACACACACUUGCCUCACUGUCCUUAUGAGGACUGUCCAUUGAGGACCAGCCAAAUGUCUCCACAAGGACAAAACUGCCACAUAUUCCUAUCCUUGUGGUGACCAAGAUAUAAAUACAUGCCAAGGCUUUCACUCACACACACACACACACACACACACACACACACACACACACACACACACACACAGGCCUAUAA